CGCGUGCAUCUCCUGAGAUCUCGCGAGAAUAUGCUGCUUCUGGCCGCGUGGUCUCGGGGUCGCGUGGUCUCUGCGCUGCAGUCGCGAAGCUGCUUCCGCCUUUGUCGGAGGCCACCGGGUGUUCAGCAAGUCGCAGCCCGCCGGGUCCCAGCCCAUCCUUUGCAACUUCGGAAGAGCUCUUUUGGAGGUGAUGUGAGCAGCGCUGACCGAAGGGAGUUAAGAGGAAUCUAAAAAUGGGCUACAUUUCAAGUCUCGACUGAAAAUUUCCAGCCAGUAUCUAGCAUCACAAAACUUGAAGCAGCCUGGACUGCAGUGCUUGUGGGAAGAAUAACCCUGGGACCACCUGGCCUAACAGGGAAGCGUCAGUGAAAGCUUGGUACUGAACUGCUACUUAUAGAGCACACCCAUUUAAGAGGACACUAGAGACAAAGGACAACGCUCAACAGGACACAUAACUCAAUCUCAGAAGUCAGAAGCCUGCAGAAUCAUAAACACAGGAGCUAAAGACUAACUGGCCAACCACUUGGACCUUCUUGUCUGAGAAGACCGUUGUGGCAGCUGCAACACAACUGAGGGCCUCCAAAGAAGCUCAAUUUACUCAAGGGCACUGGUGCUGAAUUAAACCGGGUCCAAACAAAGCUUCACUGUGGGGCUGAGCAAGUUGAGACCCAAGGAUUCUGCCCUUCCGGCCUGAAUAGCCAUCAGCUCUGAAUUGUCGAUCACAGUCCGUGACCUCUUCACGAUCAAAGUCACAUAGUUAGUAAGUGGUAACACCGGGUCUGAAACCUAGGCUUUCCAAUUAAAAAUAGCCCAUUUUAUAAGUGAUAGAGUUUGGCUCAAGAAUGUUAAUGACUUGCACAAGAUCUCAAGCUGAAAUUUAUAGGCAAAGCAGGCACUGGACCCCUGGGCUCCCUGACCAGGGAGCCAUGCUUUUCUAUAUUCUGGCUGACACGAUUGUUCUGGUGUGAAUAUGCAUACUGUUCACUGAGAUAAGGAAGGUUUGUAGUGGAAGAUUACAGGUUUCAUUUUGAAUAUGGUGAGGUCGAUCUGUCUGUAGUGAAGUUAAAUGGAAUUCCAUCAGGUAUUCCUGGAGCCUGGUGUUCCUGGGAGAUACUUGGAUGGGAGAUACAGACUUGGAAUUCAUGAAAGUUGGAUAGAAAUUGAAUCCGAAGGAAUGGGUUAAGAUACCCAAAGGGAGUGCACUGAUUUAGAAGAGAAGUGGAUUUAGAAUUCAAUGCUGGAAAAUGGCAGAAUUUAAGGCAUAGGCAGGAGGUAAUGCCUUUGAACAGGAUGAGAAAAAAUAAUCCAAUUGCUGGGCACAUUGGGCAAUCAUGAAAUUUAAAAAAAGAAAUCUGGAAGUUAAGUUUUAGUAGCUCAUUUGACCUGCAGUGACCUGAGAGACACCCUGAAGGCUCUACCUGGAUAUUUCCGGGAUCCCAGUAUUCAGGUAUCCUGGAUGUUACUCAGACGUUACAGAGCACUUACUCAAAGUUGCCACACCCUGCCCUUUGAUUCUGGGUUUGUGAAACGUCUCACGUCUUCAGAGAAGUAAGUGAGGACGUUUGACUCCAAUGAGGUCUCUUAAACCGGGCUGUUCUUUGGCCAACCUGGAAUUUUCACUGUACGUAAAUCUUGUGGAAAAACUUUAGUGGGCUUGUGUAUCUCUCUGAUCCUAUGAGCCCAUGAGCAGGCAUUCACAGGUGGGGAAGUGCUGGGCUCCUGGCUCCCUGUGUCACUACCACCCCUUGCUUCUGCCAGAGUGGGACCAGUUUUCAGCCUCCGCAACCUCCAGAUUUUAUGGUCUCCUCUGAAAGUCAGGGAGCCCUUUCCUCCAGCAAGCUCUUCCUCUCAGCUGCAGCUCUGAGCUACCAAAUACAGUUAUAAAGUUCUUCCCAAAGAGGUGGCUCCCUACCCUCAAUUUCCACAAGUGUUUAUCAAGAUUUCAGAGUGGUUCCAUUCUUUGGGUUUUCUCCGGGGCCAUAGAUUGGUCUCAAGUGUGUCUUGGGGAUAGGCCAUGAUAAAUCCAUUCUUGCAAUCCUUCCUUUGUGGUUGCUUUGAUUACUUUUUGCAUCAUAUUCCAGAAGAUUUAUGGCAUAGUGUCUUCACUGGGACAUUGCUUAAGAGACUGGAAUUUGGUCUCACAAAAUACAGAUAGGCUACAGUUGUUGUGGACCCAGCUUCUGUGAUGUUGGGCCUUCCUCAUUCUUUGGGUGUGGGCAGGGUACUUUGAUGAGGGUGUGUUGGUUGAUCUGGGCUGCUGCUGCUUGUUGUUCUGUUGGCUUUAAAAUAUUGUAGUUGGGGUAAGAGGCUUUAAAUUAGCCAUGGGUAUUUUGACUUCAAGGGCUGACUGUACUGGACUCUACAAGUAAGUGCUUAUUUCUGUACAAGGAGAGAAUUAAGCAAGGGCUUUGGUCCUCUACAAAACACAGGUCACAGAUGAGAGCCAACAGGCACGUGUCCUAAGUCAAAAAGGGGAUAAGGACAAGAUAGUCUUGCAGGUUUUGAUUGAAAAAUGGGGCCCAGCAAGAAAGGCCGGCCACAGGGGUUAUUAACAGGUGUGUACCCUUUCUUCAGGUUUGUGACCUAAGAAUGAAGGCUGCCUCAGUUUCCUACUUUAGUUUUCUCUAAGGAGAUAUGAUGAGGACUAAUAGAUAUUUGGUAUCCAGAGUGAGUUUUUGUACUAAAAAUCCCUCCCCUGUAUGAUAAAAUUAUUUCCCAUAAAAACCAGGUAAUAAUCAGUAUAAUAAUUAUUUUUGCUUGUCCUUUAAUUUGUAAAAUAACUCAAAAGGAAGAAUAAAUUUGUGUUUUAAAGGUGUUAUUGAAAUUCAGGCAAAUAUUUCAUGCAUGACCUGAAAUUGAGACCAGCUACACAAAAGUACUGCAGCUCAGAGUUGGCAUUCUGUUUCAUUCUUGCAAACAUUAAGCACAAACGAAAACUCCAUUGUGCAGGCAGAAUCAAAGAAACUCAAGUUAGGCUCUUUGCCUUUGCAAUCACUGUGCCAUCAUGUUUAUUUUAAUCUGUGGUUUAAAUGCCAGGAUAUAUAAUACAGCAGGGGCUGGGGAUACAAAUUGCACUUGAAACGAACUUGAACAAUUCUAAACAUUUAUACACUUGCUUUUGAAUCACAUAUAUAUAGAGGAGUCUGCUUAUGUUGGGGGCAUUUACAGGGGUGCUCAGAAUUACUUUCCAGAUAAAAGUGCGGUGUUUAUUGGGGUGCCUGGGUGGCUCAGUCAGUUGAGCAUCAGACUUUGGCUCAGGUCAUGA